GCGCGGAAGAUGUAACGGGGCUAAAACUAUGUGCCGAAGCUGCGGAUGUAUACUUUGUAUACGUGGUAGGGGAGCGUUCUGUAAGCCGAUGAAGGUGGAUUGAGAAGUCUGCUGGAGGUAUCAGAAGUGCGAAUGCUGACGUAAGUAACGACAAUGCGAGUAAAAAACCCGUUCGCCGAAAGACCAAGGGUUCCAGUCCAACGUUAAUCGGGGCUGGGUGAGUCGACCCCUAAGGCGAGGCCGAAAGGCGUAGUCGAUGGGAAAAUGGUUAAUAUUCCAUUACUUCUGUGUAAUGCGAUGAGAGGACGGAGAAGGCUAAAUCAGCCUGGCGUUGGUUGUCCAGGUGAAAGGAUGUAGGCAUGUAUCUUAGGCAAAUCCGGGGUACUCUAUGCUGAGAUCUGAUAGCAAGCUGUACUUGUACAGCGAAGUGGUUGAUGCCAUGCUU
rnacentral:rRNA from 1 species